GAGUUUGAUCUUGGCUCAGAUUGAACGCUGGCGGCAGGCUUAACACAUGCAAGUCGAGCGGGGGAGAUUGCUUCGGUAAUUGACCUAGCGGCGGACGGGUGAGUAAUACUUAGGAAUCUGCCUAUUAAUGGGGGACAACAUCUCGAAAGGGAUGCUAAUACCGCAUACGCCCUACGGGGGAAAGCAGGGGAUCACUUGUGACCUUGCGUUAAUAGAUGAGCCUAAGUCGGAUUAGCUAGUUGGUGGGGUAAAGGCCUACCAAGGCGACGAUCUGUAGCGGGUCUGAGAGGAUGAUCCGCCACACUGGGACUGAGACACGGCCCAGACUCCUACGGGAGGCAGCAGUGGGGAAUAUUGGACAAUGGGGGGAACCCUGAUCCAGCCAUGCCGCGUGUGUGAAGAAGGCCUUAUGGUUGUAAAGCACUUUAAGCGAGGAGGAGGCUCUUCUAGUUAAUACCUAGGAUGAGUGGACGUUACUCGCAGAAUAAGCACCGGCUAACUCUGUGCCAGCCGCCGCCGU
rnacentral:rRNA from 1 species